rnacentral:rRNA from 1 species
UGGGGAAUAUUGCACAAUGGGGGGAACCCUGAUGCAGCGACGCCGCGUGAGGGAAGAAGGUUUUUGGAUUGUAAACCUCUGUCCUUGGUAAAGAAGCAAGACGGUAGCCAAGGAGGAAGCCACGGCUAACUACGUGCCAGCAGCCGCGGUAAUACGUAGGUGGCAAGCGUUGUCCGGAAUUACUGGGUGUAAAGGGAGCGUAGGCGGUUAUGCAAGUUGAAUGUGAAAUCUAUCGGCUCAACUGAUAGGCUGCGUUCAAAACUGUAUAUCUUGAGUGAAGUAGAGGCAGGCGGAAUUCCUAGU